rnacentral:rRNA from 1 species
GGCGGCGCGCCUAACACAUGCAAGUCGAACGGUUAAAGGCACCUUUUAGGUGUGCUAUAAAGUGGCGAACGGGUGAGUAACACGUGGGCUACGUGCCGUCCCUCUUGGGGAUAGCCUCGGGAAACCGAGGAUUAUACCCGAUACUUCAAUGUGGCCGCAUGACGACAUUGAGAAAGCUUUUGCGGAGAAGGAUGGGCCCGCGGCCUGUUAGCUUGUUGGUGGGGUAGAGGCAUACCAAGGCAAUGAUGGGUAGCUGGGUUGAGAGACCGACCAGCCAGAUUGGGACUGAGACACGGCCCAGACUCAUACGGGAGACAGCAGUGGGGAAUCUUGCACAAUGGGCGAAAGCGUGAUGCAGAGACGCCGCGUGCGGGAAGAAGGCCUUCGGGUUGUACACUCGCUUUCAGCAGGGACGAGGCGAAAGUGACGGUACAUGCAGAAGAAGCCCCGGCUAAAUACGUGCCAGCAGCCGCGGUAAUACGUAGGGGGCAAGCGUUAUCCGGAUUCAUUGGGCGUAAAGCGUCUCGUAGGCGGUCUGUUAGGUCGGGAGUUAAAUCCGGAGGCUCAAACCUCCGCCCGCUCCCGAUACCGGCAGACUUGAGUAUGGUAGGGAGAGGUGGAAUUCCUAGUGUAGCGGUGGAAUGCG